rnacentral:lncRNA from 1 species
UCAAUUGCUUGCUUUCCAAGCAACUUUUAGAAUUUUAUUCCCCACCGUUUGGAUAAGCUUCAAGAUUUACGGGCCUAAUGCAAAUUAUUCAAACAGAACAAAAAUUCAGUAUAUAAUAGAAUAAGUUGAGAGGAUUAAACUUCUCAACUGACCCCACCAAGAUUGAUGACUAAAUCCUAAGGAAAAACAUAGAACAAAGGAUAUUUAGAGUAAAAAUGAACUUACUCUGUUUGAAAAUCUGAUUGGGUAGAAAUGUUCCUUAACUCCUCUGCUACAACGUGGUAUGAUCAGAUUCUAAAAUAGAUGAAGAUUGGAAGAGAAAUUAAGAGAGAGGGAGAGAAGAGAAUUGGAG